CACGCGCCCGCCGCGCACCGGCGCGCCUGCGUCCAACAAAUAACGCAAGAAACCACAGAGGAAUAUAGUGCAUGCUUAUCGGAACCGUGUUACAACCUCGGAACUUGCAUAGACUUGCCCGCGUCUACAUACACAUGCCUAUGUACCGACUCAUUCACAGGAGUGAACUGUGAAUCUCACAUCAAAGACGCGCUGCCAACAACUUACAUCGAAACUCCAUCGUUCGACGGCUCGUCCUAUAUACGCCUAAAACCGUUAAAGGCUUACCAUAAGUUGAACAUCGAUAUUGAAUUUAAGGCAUUCUCCGAGAAUGGGGUCAUAUUGUACAAUCAGCAGAAACCCGACGGAACGGGCGAUUUUGUUUCGCUCGCUUUGGUUAACGGAUAUUUGGAGUUUCGGUAUAAUCUUGGAAAUGGUGUAAUAAUUCUAACGUCCCUCGAAAAAAUAACACUAAACGAAUAUCAUAAAGUAUCCGCGAAACGAUAUCACCGGGACGGAAUUCUGUCGGUGGACGAUAUGGAGGACGUGGCCGGACAGUCCAGCGGCAGUUUGAAGGCUUUAGACCUCGCCGAAGAUGCCUACAUCGGUAGCAUUCCCACUAAUUAUACCAGGGUAUACGAUAAUAUCGGGACUCGGAACGGGUUCGUCGGUUGCGUGAAGUAUUUGAGGAUCAUACGUCACCAGGUGACGAAGAAAUUGGGUCGGCCGGACUCAUUAGUGGUG
rnacentral:misc_RNA from 1 species